UACAGAGGGUGCAAGCGUUGUUCGGAAUUAUUGGGCGUAAAAGGGAGUGUAGGCGGGUUGAGUUAAAGUCUUCUGUAGAAACGCUGCGGGGCUUAGCCUGACAAAGUGCAGAGGAAACUGGGCUGACUUGGAGUGUCGGGAGAGGGAUUAGGGGAAUACCCAGUGUAGAAGGUGAAAUUCGUAGAGAUUGGGUGGGAACACCCAGUGG
rnacentral:rRNA from 1 species